rnacentral:sRNA from 1 species
GCUACUCAGAAAGUCUAGAGAGAUAGA